CCGCUUUCCUAAUCAAAAGAUAGGAGAGCACCCCUUCUCCCGAAGUUACGGGGUCAUUUUGCCGAGUUCCUUCGACAUGGUUCUCUCAAGCGCCCUAGUAUACUCUACUUGUUCACCUGUGUCGGUUUGGGGUACGGUCAGUUCACCGGGAGGAUCGCCCUCCCAAUUCGAAGUUUUUUCCUGGAAGUUUCAACCUUCUUGACUAUGACAAGAGUCGCGACUAUAAACAGACUCGCGACUAUGGCAGGGCGGUACGCUCUGCUCUCUCGCGACCCCUACUCUAAUCAAAAGACUAAAGGCCCCUACUGAAGGUCGCCAAACUACGACGAGACUUUCGCCUUUUGAAGCGCCAGUAGCGUAGGGCGACCGGGCCAGGCCGAGUCAGAAAGGCUUUGAUGACUCAAGGUUCAUAUUAGGGAAAGGAGAGUGAGGGGAAGAGGGCUACGCUGCCCUCGGCCCGAUCAUCCAAUUCGCUCCAAGAGAGAGGCAUGGUUUUGUAGUCAAAGCAACUUCGUCACUUUCGUGUACCCAUCGGACGGCAGCCCUUUCGGGGGUUCCUUAGGGACCGAUUCACUCUGCGU
rnacentral:lncRNA from 1 species